rnacentral:lncRNA from 1 species
UUUUUUUUUGUUUUGCAUCGUGUUCAUGUCUUGCAUUUCAUCAUCGCAUCAUUCGCAUUGCAUCGGCACUCCGUUGCCGUCAUGUUUUAAAACUUGCAUUCGUUCGUCGUUGCCAUUUCUCCCUUUGCCUUCAUCACCUUCCCUCGGAUCGCCUUGCUCGCGCUGACCGUUCUAAGACCAACCGGGUUUUCCAUUCCCUCUUGUCAAACCAACUAACCCCUCUCAGACCCCCUCGUGUGCGCGUCCAAAACUUGCCACGAACCCGAACCGCUCAGUCAUCACCGUUGGAUCCGGAUCAUCCCCAAACAUCUAUAAAAUAUCUCCGUUUUAUUAUUUGGACUUCGUACCUAUUUAUCUCGACCGUCUGAUUUCGAUCAGAUGAUCCAAUUCCCCCCUUUUCCUUAUAUAUAGAGACUCCCUUGUCCAUUUUUAGACCAAACCCUAAAAAAUUUGAGGAGAGCUGUCCCAUCCUCCUAGACGCCGCCGCCACUCCUCCUGUCUCGUCUUCCUCGAGAUCCUCCCAGAUCCCCUUCUCACCCAACCAGCACUCGAGGCCUCCCCUCGAUCCAACCACAGCCGGCCACCGAUCCAACCCAUCCACCACCUCCGGUGCCUCCCCGAGCUCGACUCUGCCGCCUCGCGCCGCUCGCCGGAGCAACCAGCAACGACCCUCACCUCCAGGACCUCCUCCUCGCCGCCCCAUCUCGUCUCCAAAAACCGGUCACUAGACCUGCACCCCUCGUUGCUUCUACUUCUCCCGUUCCCUCCGGUUCCCUCUCUCACUUGCUCUCUGUCUUUUCCAUGGAGACCCGCAGGAACACCGCUACCAUGCUCGACCUCGACGUGCCUCGCCGCCGUCGGGAAUGGAAGGGUCGACCUCGGUUUUGCCUCCCCACCUCUUUCGGUGCACCACCAGGAGCUCUUGAAGCCUCGCUCCGCCCCGUCUUUGCGAGCACACCGUCACCUUGGAUCCCAGCGGAGCCCCAUCCUCCCCACGCCUCCACGUCGAGCCAACGGCAGCCAUCCCCGUUGUCUUCCUCGAGCAGGAGCUCACGCCCGAGCUCCAUCGCCACCCGUUGCCCCUCGCCGGAGCAACACCAGCAGGACCCCGGCGACCUCCUGCGACCGGAUUCGGGUCCUCCCUCUGCCCGUCCCUCUCCUUCUCGUAUCUCCUUCCUCCUCCCUCUGUUUUGUCCCCCCUGUCUCUCUCUAUGAACCCACUCUUGUUUUCUUCAACAAGAGAUCGCCUGCGCAAGCCUCUGCUCGCGACCCUGCCCAGNNNNNNNNNNCUCCAUCGCCACCCGUUGCCCCUCGCCGGAGCAACACCAGCAGGACCCCAGCGACCUCCUGCGACCGGAUUCGGGUCCUCCCUCUGCCCGUCCCUCUCCUUCUCGUAUCUCCUUCCUCCUCCCUCUGUUUUGUCCCCCCUGUCUCUCUCUAUGAACCCACUCUUGUUUUCUUCAACAAGAGAUCGCCUGCGCAAGCCUCUGCUCGCGACCCUGCCCAGAUUGAGCGAGCGAGGAGAGCGCUCGUGUUGACCGCGUCGUUGCCUCCAGAUCAGGCCCAACGCCACCCCCGGCCUGCCUUGGCCUCUCCGCCGACCUGGGCUUGGCCCAUGGUGAGAAAUCCCCCAGCGCCCCUUUGUGUUUCUUCUGUUGGGCCUGCUCCGGUUUUAGAUGCGGCCCGUAUCACGUUUUUUCCCAGUUCUGCGAUUUUACCAAUUAUCCAAAAAAACUACAGUUUUUUCAGAAAACCCCUCAUGUUCAUGCAUGUAAUAAUUAAUUAACCAUGCAUCGUUUAAAACAAAUUAUAUAUGUAAAGUGCUUAGAAUUUCAUCUAGUUUCACAAUAUCCAAUUUUCAUCCAUGUUUAAAAUGUUUAAAAAUGUUGUUUGGUUAAAUUUGCAUAAUGCCAUGUUAAAAUGAUUUAUUUCCUAACUAAAUAACCGUAGCUCAGUUUUAAAUGUUCUUUAUAUGUAAAUGGGGUGGAAAAAUGCCUAGUUUAACAUGGUGCACUUUAUUUUCCUGUUUAACAACCUUAAAAUAUGGUUUAGGGCAGAACAGUACCAAAUUCAUAAUUUGCAUAUGAGGAUUUUCCCGGAAUUGUUGUUUGUUGUUCCCGGCCUCAUUUAAACUUGCCUAAAUAGUUAGAUUACUUAUGUUCCACCUCUUGCCAUGUUUAACAACAUUUAAUAUUGUUGUGUACCUAAACAAGAGCGAACUAAAUAACACGAAUGUGGUGUUUCGUCAAUAUGCAACUCGUUGCAUAUUGAGCUCCACUUAAUUUGUAGUAUUGUGUGUUGCAGUUUGCCAUGCCAAUGCCUCAUUAAACCGGACAUGCAUCAUACUUGUUUGUGCAUCAUGUCAUGUUUAUGCUUGUGCAUUUACCAUGUUGUUUGUUUCUUUCCGGUGUUGCUUCUUUGUUCCGGUAAUGUUGCGAUUGUGAGGAUUCGUUCGACUACUCCCGUUCAUUUUCUUCAUGGACUCGUUCUUCUUCCUUGCGGGAUUUCAGGCAAGAUGACCGUCACCUUGGACCUCAUUACUAUCAUUGCUAUGCUAGUUGCUUCGUUCUACCGCUAUGCUGCGUUACCUAUAUUUUGCUCAUCAAGCCUCCCAAAUUGCCAUGAACCUCUAACCUUUGACACCCUUCCUAGCAAACCAUUGCUUGGCUAUGUUACCGCUUUUGCUAAGCCCCUCUUAUAGCGUUUUUAGUUGCAGGUGAAGUUGAAGAUUGCCCCAUGAUGGACAGGAUUAUGUUGGGAUAUCACAAUAUCUCUUAUAUUAUUAAUGCAUCUAUAUAUUUGGUAAAGGGUGGAAGACUCGGCCUUAUGCCUGGUGUUUUGUUCCACUCUUGCCACCCUAGUUUCCGUCAUACUGGUGUUAUGUUCCCGGAUUUUGCGUUCCUUACGCGGUUGGGUGAUUUAUGGGACCCCUUGAUAGUUCGCUUUGAAUAAAACUCCUCCAGCAAGGCCCAACCUUGGUUUUUCCAUUUGCCUCACCUAGCCCUUUUUCCCUUGGGUUUCCGGAGCCCGAGGGUCAUCUUUAUUUUAUCCCCCCCGGGCCAGUGCUCGUCGUGAGUGUUGGUCCAACCUGUCUGCCGCCGGUGGCCACCAGGUGUAGCUCUGGGCUGGCCUACCAGAAGUUUGGACAAUCCGGUGUGCCCUGAGAACGAGAUAUGUGCAGCUCCUAUCAGGAUUUGUCGGCACAUUCGGGCGGCUUUGCUGGUCUUGUUUUACCAUUGUCGAAAUGUCUUGUAAACCAGGAUUCCAAGUCUGAUCGGGUCUUCCUAGGAGAAGGUAUAUCCUUCGUUGAUCGCGAGAGCUUAUCAUGGGCUAAGUUGGGACACCCCUGCAGGGUAUUAUCUUUCGAAAGCCGUGCCCGCGGUUAUGGGCAAAUGGGGAUUUGUUAAUGUCCGGUUGUAGAUAACUUGACACCAGAUCCGAAUUAAAACGCAUCAACCGCGUGUGUAGCCGUGAUGGUCUCUUUUUGGCGGAGUCCGGGAAGUGAACACGGUUUUGGGUUAUGUUUGACGUAAGUAGGAGUUCAGGAUCACUUCUUGAUCAUUGCUAGCUUCAUGACCGUUCCAUUGCUCCUCUUUUCGCUCUUAUUUGCGUAUGUUAGCCACCAUAUAUGCUUAGUCGCUGCUGCAACCCCACCACUUUACCCCUUCCUUUCCCUUUAACCUUUGCUAGUCUUGAUACCCACGGUAAUGGGAUUGCUGAGUCCUCGUGGCUCACAGAUUACUACAACAAUAGUUGUAGGUACAGAUUAUGCGAUGAUCAUGAUGCGGGAGCGAUGUUUGCUUGUUUUGGAGUUCUUCUUCUGCUUCUUCGAUCAGGGGAUAGGUUCCAGGUCGGGAGCCUGGGCUAGAAGGGUGGAUGUCGUUUGAGUUUAUGUUUGUGUUUCAUCCGUAGUCGGAUGAUGCUCUUAUGUAUUGUGAUGAUGUAUUCGUGUGGCAUUGUAUGCCUCUUUUAUAUAUCCCCAUCUAUUAUGUAAUGUUGAUGUAAUGAUAUCCACCUUGCAAAAGCGUUUCAAUAUGCGGUUCUAUCCUUGGUGGGACCUUCGAGUCUCUUUAGGAUAGUAUCGCAUAUUGGACAUGACAAGUUGGUAAUCAGAGCCUCGACCGACCAUAAGAGCCCCCUUGAUUGUUGGCCGUUGUCAAGUCUAGAAUAAAACUUUUUUGAGUCUUAGGAUUAUAUAUAUCGGAGAGUAGGAUUCUUUUUACUCCUCAGCCCCCUUCGUCGCUCUCGUGAGGACUCCUGACGUAGAUGUUUUGUCUUUCCUCUCCUCAAAUUUCACGAAAAAAAAUUAGGAUCACGCGGGUAUCUUGGAAUCGUUCCGAUGGUUUUGUGACGAGAACAUUGUUCUUGGUGCCUCCUGUCUAUUAUGUGGCAUUGACCCGGGGAGUUGAGCUCCGAGGUGUUCUCGUCACAAUUUUAUCGUUGCAGUUCUGGAAUACCUGAGUUUUGCCGACAUCGAAAAUCUCUUUUAUGCAGUUCUUGGUGAGAUAACCUCGACGCCACCCAGUACUGGGGCGGGAGUUCGGGAGUAUUGCCAUAGCUCGUAUAAUGGAUGCUUUUCGAAGGUUGAGGUACACGAUUUUCGGAGUUUUCUUGGUUAUGUGUUGACGGAUGGAUACAGCUGGAUGUAGGGAUUGUUAGUUUGGGUGAGAUAUAUUGCUUCCCCUGUAUCCCCAACACCAGAUUGCAUAACCAGAAAGUUUCGGGAGUUUAUAGGUGGGAAUUCAAGUACCUCAUAGGAUAUCUUUCCAACAGACACAUGAUACGAUAUGGGAUCUAUCAUAUGUUUGUUCCGGCUUAUUCUGCAAGCCAAAUCCUUUGUUUUGUUUUAUUUGUGGUAUUCGAGUUGCUUCGAAGUCAAGUGUUGAUUCGAUACCUUUCAAGCGGUGUUCUCAUAUUUCUAUGGGAGUACCAAUCCUUCUUGUUUAUUGAGAUUGUCAUGUCAAUUCUUUUCCAAACUGGCGUGCUUCUCUUCAAGUGGAUCCCAUCAUUUUUUCCCAUCCGCAAGAUCAAUUCUAAGUUUUCCCAACGGUGUUUAUUUCAUCUGUCCCAAGUUGUCUUUGUUUUUCCCCACCCUCCCACCCUUUUUCUUCAAGGACUCGGAUUUCUUAAUCAUGUAUCCUUUUAUUUGUGGGAAGUCUCUUCAUUCUUUUCUUUCAAUGUUCUUAUCCGGUGAUUUCCCAUGAAGAUGCUCAACAGUUUCAAGUUCAUCAUCCUUCAUUGUUGUUUCUUCUCCGGUGGAUCCAAUUCAAGCUUUCGAUAUUCAUCAUAUUCCUUUCCUCGUUUCUAAUGCUUUGUCAUGCCGAUGCACCUCUUAAUCAUUCACUUCUUCCUAUUCAUUUGUCCUGGAGUGUUGAAGAUAUCUCAGAAGAUUUGUGUUUCCAUUCUUAAUCCGUUCAAGCUAUUUGGAGAUUGUUAUCUCAUUCAAGCCAUUUAAUUCAACCGAUGCAAUUUCCCUUUCAAGUAAUUUUUCAACGGUGUUCCUUUUCAGUGGGCCCUAACCCACAGGUCUUUUCCAGGAUCUUACCUGACUCUUCUAAUUUUCCCGGAGCCAUUCCCAAAGUCUUUCGAAGUUUGACAUAAGAAUGAAUUAUCAUCAGUCAUAUGUCUUUCUCCAAGAUCUUUCAAAUUCUUUUCAUCGUUGGUUCAACCUUUCCAAUUUUCAUUCCGGAGUGCCUCAACAAUUGUCAUGGUGGUUCUGAUCAUCAUUCUCAACAUGUGAAGACCGAAGAAGUGUUUCCUCUAAAUCUUGGUCCAUUCUCUUGAAUAUUCAUGGUUCUAGCUUCAUGCUAUCCUCAUAAUUGUUUUGAUUGUGACAAUUCUUUUCUUACCGUCCGGAGCAUUUCAUGAGUUGUUUCCAUUUCUUUCCUCCGAAGGUCAUCAUGUCAUAAUUCUUCAUUCUCAGCUUUCAACUCUCGUUAUCAAAUUCUUCCGAUGCACCGUUCAAAUACCCUCUAAUCAGCUCAUGAUCUCUUUAUCCUUUUUGCAUCUAAAUCCCCUCGAGCAUAUUGGUUCUUCUAAUUCUUCCCGGUGAUUCAUUCUCUUUUGUCAGUCAUUUCCGAAUUCUUACGGUGGUUCGUUCAAGAUUUUUUUCCUUGAUUAUCAUAUUAAUUCAUCCGUUCUUUCCAAUCCUACCGGUGGUUCAUGAAGACUUUCUCAAGUUUUGUGAUAUACCCCCCCCCCCUUAAUCCUUUUUACGAGAAUAAGUAGUGUGCCAAAUCCAUUGCUUGUCAUCAAUUAAAAUUGGUGAAGGAUACGCAUACUGUAAUUCUUAUUAUUGUUUCAUCCAUGUGAUCUAGUUUCUUCUCUCUAGAGUUAUCACCAUGUCACAUUUCUCGGUUCGAGAUGCUUCAUCUUUUCUUUUCCGGAGUUCCAGGUUUUCCGCAUUAUCUCAUCGCGAAGCUCCAUCUAAAUCAUCGCAAGGCUUCACCUUGUGUUUCCAACUUCUUUUUCUUUUCAUCAUCCUCUUAUUACCGGAGUUCUUCAUGGAGGCUCUACAUGGUGGUUCAUCAAGGAUUCUCUUCAUUCUUCAAUUGUUCUUCAAGAUUUCUCUCGAAGUUAUGACCCGCCAAGCUAUACUCAAAAUUAAACAUGGUUCUCAACACAUGUUUUGUUUUGACGCGUUCAAGUAUUCUUCUUCUUGCAUUUCGAAGUGCAAUUCCUUCUACAAUAUCUUUUGAGGUGGUGCUAUAUCAUUCUUGACAAUUUCCAUUCAUGUUUCGUGAUUCACAUGUUGUCAAGAAUGAGGUAUUUUAAAUCCAUCAAUCUCUUCUCUGGAGUUAUCUUGGUAUAGAUUUCACCUAAAGCCUUCCCUAAGGAAUGUUGCUAUUUGUGGUGCUUAUCAAUUAUCCAAGCUUUCUCCAUAUCCUUCUCUGUGAAAGAGGUUUUUCAUCUCUUCGUUGUUCUCAAGCAAGCAAUUGUUUCCAUUAGUGGCCGGUUGUCACCUCAUCAUUUCGAGAUGUUUGCCAUAAGCCCACAACAAUCUUGUGCUUUUCGUUGUUGAUUUUCCAACAACUCCGUUCAAUUCUUCUUUAUAAGGAUGGUUUCCAAGCUCAUUUGUGGCAGAAGUUGGCAUUUUCUUCUCCAUUCUUUUAUUUCAAUGAUCUAUCUUCUAUUCUUUCUUCUGGAGGCAUGGUGAUGUUGCUCUCUUUACUCAUCAUCUCGAAUUGUGAGGACCGUGUUCUUUUCAUGCUUAUCCAUUUAACUGGAGUGUUGUCUCAUCUCUUCAAGUUCUUUUUAUCUUAUCAAGUUUUCCUUCUUUCAGUCGGAGUGCUGCCCAAAUUAUAUUAGUCUUAUUCCUUCUCUAUCUAGUUUUAACCGGAGUGGUUCCAAUAUCUAUCUUAUCACUAAACCUCUUGGUUCUCGUUGUAUCCCUUGUUCCUCUUUUCUAACGGAGUGUUUUCAACUUUGUUCAUCUUCGUUGUUUUCUUUCUUUCAUUCUGCUCAACCUCUCAAGGUUCAUGGUUUCACUCGUUUGUCGAAGAAGCAACUUAGUUUUACCUAUUCUCUUCCUCUUCCGUUUCUCUCUGGUGCCAUCCUAGAUCUCGGGACGAGAUCCUCUCGUAGUGGUGGAGUGUUGUAACGCCCCGGAUACAACUUUCCAUAUUCAUAACUCCGACUCUUGUCAUUUCCGGCUAUGUGAUUUGUUAUUUCCUCCGUGGUUGGGUUUUGUUUUUUUUUUGCAUCGUGUUCAUGUCUUGCAUUUCAUCAUCGCAUCAUUCGCAUUGCAUCGGCACUCCGUUGCCGUCAUGUUUUAAAACUUGCAUUCGUUCGUCAUUGCCGUUUCUCCCUUUGCCUUCAUCACCUUCCCUCGGAUCGCCUUGCUCGCGCUGACCGUUCCGAGACCAACCGGGUUUUCCAUUCCCUCUUGUCAAACCAACUAACCCCUCUCAGACCCCCUCGUGUGCGCGUCCGAAACUUGCCCCGAACCCGAACCGCUCAGUCCUCACCGUUGGAUCCGGAUCAUCCCCAAACAUCUAUAAAAUAUCUCCGUUUUAUUAUUUGGACUUCGUACCUAUUUAUCUCGAGCGUCUGAUUUCGAUCAAAUGAUCCAAUUCCCCCCUUUUCCUUAUAUACAUAGACUCCCUUGUCCAUUUUUACACCAAACCCUAAAAAAUUUGAGGAGAGCUGUCCCAUCCUCCUAGCCGCCGCCGCCACUCCUCCAGUCUCGUCUUCCUCGGGAUCCUCCUAGAUCCCCUUCUCACCCAACCAGCACUCGAG